AUUGAACGCUGGCGGCAUGCCUUACACAUGCAAGUCGAACGGCAGCACGGGUGCUUGCACCUGGUGGCGAGUGGCGAACGGGUGAGUAUUACAUCGGAACGUACCUUAUCGUGGGGGAUAACGCAGCGAAAGCUGUGCUAAUACCGCAUACGCCCUGAGGGGGAAAGCGGGGGAUCGAAAGACCUCGCGCGAUUAGAGCGGCCGAUGCCUGAUUAGCUUGUUGGUGGGGUAAAAGCCCACCAAGGCGACGAUCAGUAGCUGGUCUGAGAGGACGAUCAGCCGCACUGGGACUGGGACACGGCCCAGACUCCUCCGGGAGGCAGCAGUGGGGAAUUUUGGACAAUGGGGGCAACCCUGAUCCAGCAAUGCCGCGUGAGUGAAGAAGGCCUUCGGGUUGUAAAGCUCUUUUGUCAGGGAAGAAACACCGGCUCUAACACAGUCCGGGAAUGACGGUACCUGAAGAAUAAGCACCGGCUAACUACGUGCCAGCCGCCGCAGUAA
rnacentral:rRNA from 1 species